AUCUAACUCUUUCCCUGCAGGACCCUCUUGGGAUUCUCUCUCUCCUCUCUCUGCCCUUCCCCCUCUCGCUCACAUGCUCUCUCAAAAUAAACAUUAAAAGAAAAAAGUAUGUCCCAUACAAUUUGGGGGACAUAAUUCUACUAAAAAACAC